rnacentral:rRNA from 1 species
GAACGCUGGCGGCAUGCCUUACACAUGCAAGUCGAACGGCAGCGCGGGGCAACCUGGUGGCGAGUGGCGAACGGGUGAGUAAUAUAUCGGAACGUGCCCAGUCGUGGGGGAUAACGUAGCGAAAGCUACGCUAAUACCGCAUACGAUCUAAGGAUGAAANCGGGGGAUCGCAAGACCUCGCGCGAUUGGAGCGGCCGAUAUCAGAUUAGGUAGUUGGUGAGGUAAAGGCUCACCAAGCCGACGAUCUGUAGCUGGUCUGAGAGGACGACCAGCCACACUGGGACUGAGACACGGCCCAGACUCCUACGGGAGGCAGCAGUGGGGAAUUUUGGACAAUGGGCGCAAGCCUGAUCCAGCAAUGCCGCGUGCAGGAUGAAGGCCUUCGGGUUGUAAACUGCUUUGUACGGAACGAAACGGUGAGCUCUAAUACAGUUUGCUAAUGACGGUACCGUAAGAAUAAGCACCGGCUAACUACGUG